rnacentral:rRNA from 1 species
CACGUAGGCGGAUUUGUCAGUCAGGGGUGAAAUCCCGGGGCUCAACCUCGGAACUGCCUUUGAUACAGCAAGUCUUGAGUUCGAGAGAGGUGGGUGGAAUUCCUAGUGUAGAGGUGAAAUUCGUAGAUAUUAGGAAGAACACCGGUGGCGAAGGCGGCCCACUGGCUCGAUACUGACGCUGAGGUGUGAAAGCGUGGGGAGCAAACA